UACGUAGGGCGCAAGCGUUGUCCGGAAUUAUUGGGCAUAAAGAGCUCGUAGGCGGUUUGUCGCGUCUGCUGUGAAAACCUAAGGCUCAACCUUGGGCUUGCAGUGGGUACGGGCAGACUAGAGUGCGGUAGGGGUGACUGGAAUUCCUGGUGUAGCGGUGGAAUGCACAGAUAUCAGGAGGAACACCGAUGGCGAAGGCAGGUCACUGGGCCGCAACUGACGCUGAGGAGCGAAAGCAUGGGGAGCGAACAGG
rnacentral:rRNA from 1 species